GUAGGCCUGUAAAUACUUCCUCUUUCUUUAUAGUACACAGACUAACAAGGUAUUUGUAAGUACACUGGAUUUUCAUUUCUUUGAGUAAUAGUACAGAACAGUUUUUGUCUAUUAAUAGGUACUUAAUCCAAGAUCUGUACAAAACAACUGUUUAUAUUUUUUAGUAAAGAAAAUACAAGGAAAACACUAAGGAAAGUGGGGCUGUGAAGGGAGAUCGUCCAAAGAAGCUUGGUAGCCAACAUGCUCACUAAGGAGAGCUGACUUUUAUUUUUUUUCCAAUAUUUGUAAUAGUUAAAAAACGGCAUUCUUUGAGUCUGGUUGGUUAUAUCAUAAUACUAACAACCCCCCCCCCAAAAAAAAGCCAAAAAACGUUUUUUCCUGAGUUCAGAACAGAAUAAAAGGUACUAGGAACAGCUAAGAAUCCCCCAAACAUUCUCAAAGUAUCCUUUGUUUUCCUAGCAAAUCAAAGAGGCCGCUGUUCUGUUUCUGUAUGUUUUUGUCAGGCAGCACAUUUAUCUGGGUGUGUAUUUCUUUCCACCCUGCUAAGGUAUCUGGCUUUUCCUCCAGGGUCCAAGUGGCAACAGUCUUUGCUCCUCACUGAUCUUCCCCCUUGGUUUCUGGGGGAUACCGUGAUACACUACCACAAACCAGGUGGCUUUCAACAACAGAAAUUGGGAUGCCAGCAAGAAGACUUGGCACUCCUUGGCUUGCAGCUGCACCGUUCCAGUCUCUGUCGACAUAAUCAUUCCUCCCUGCGCCCCUUCUCAGUCUCAUGUCCAAAUCACCCUCUCCAUGAGAAGACACCAGUAGUUUAAUCUUACUCCACUGUGACCUCAGAUUAACUUGACCACAUCUGCAAAGACCCUAAAAUAAAAACACCAGAGAUUAGGCUCAAUGUAAGUUUUGGGGAUGGAGAAUCAAAUUCAUAGCAUCCUGUAGUUUUCAAGUUCACCUGACCUUAUCUUAUUUUUUUGGUCCCACUUCAUUGGUAAACGCUUUCUAAAGUUACCUGUAUUCUGUGUCCACAUUGUUUCCAUCAUAUUUUCCUGUGAACUUUUAUUUUUACAAUUCCAUCAAAGCUCCUCUUGCCAAGAUCAAUGUUUCUAAUCCUGAUAUCAACUCAGUUUCGUUCACAAUUAGAUCCCUCUUUCAUAUUUGAAAUCCUUCCUUCAUUGGAAGGACAUCACUGUCAUUGUUGGCUUCCUGUAUCUUCUCAAACUCUGACAUCAGCACCCUAAUUUGCACCUGUUCUGUUAUUUCUGGGUUAUGGCCUGUGAUAAUGAUCCCAAACUUGGUUUUUCAGCUCUCUUGGUCAGUUGCUUUUCUGAUCUUUAAACUCAAACAUCAGCCUUCUCAGCAUCGCUACUAGAAGUUUAGUUGACAUCACAACAAAGUGAUAUUUGUGAGUCCACCCACAAAAUAAAAUAGUAGGGUCAUUUUUUGACUCAUUUCUGUCUCUCACACUUGGUUAUUUUUCUUUUGCAGUAAGGAUUGCAGCCAGGGCCUUUGCACUGAACUACAUCCCCAGCCAUUAAAUUGCUAAGCUGCUUGAUGGGCUUGAACUUUACAGCCUCCUGCAUCAGCCUCCCAGAGUGCUGGGAUUAUAGGAAUGUGCAGCCACACCUAGCUAGGGGAAGAAUAAGCGUUGUAUAGUGAUGGAAGAAGAAAAUAAAGUCCAUCCUUUCUUGGACCACUCUGCUGCAUAUUGUUCAGGAUUAUUUAAAAUCACAAUGCCUUACGAUAUUUCCAGAACCAAAAAUCAGAAUAUUUGGCCUGCUGACCUUGUGCAUCCUUCCACUUUCAAGUCCCCCUCCAAGAAAUCUACUACCAAAUAAAUAAAAAUAAAACCCUACUUUGAUGUGUUGUGGGCCUAAUCAGACAUUCUAGAGAACCAAAUGGUAAGAAAAAUCCCAAUAAAAUGUUUAAAAAAAUUGUAAGUCAGUUUGAUAGAGGCUGAGCUGCAUGUUUGUAGUGAUGUUGGAGCCCUGCCAAUGGUAAAUAGGAUCCAGUUGCUGUGGACUGAAGGAUUUCUGGCAGCAAAUCAGGACAGAAAAUCUGACCAAAUAAUGUCUUUUCGAGUAAGUGACAGCUAAAAUCUGUUCUCUGGCUGUUACUGCUGUGAAUAAAUGGGCAGAUAUUUUAUUUAAACAUGUAAGUGUGAAAGAAGGUUGUCAUUUUCAUGUUCUAAAGAAUCCAGCAGAAAAAAUAAGAAAAUUUAAUAUUUAUUGUGUUUUAAAUGAGGUUGACAUUCUAGAAAAAAUUACUCAAAACAAUGGAUAAGCCAUCCACGUUUUACAAAGUCAAAUUUAACAUUCCAUGUAUAUU